rnacentral:rRNA from 1 species
GACGAACGCUGGCGGCGUGCUUAACAUAUGCAAGUCGAACGGAAAGGCCUGCUUUCCCUUGUGGAUUGCGGGUACUCGAGUGGCGAACGGGUGAGUAACACGUGAGUGAUCUGCCCCCAACUUGGGUAUAAGCCUGGGAAACUGGGUCUAAUUCCCGAUAGGACUGCAGGGUGGUGCCUGUGGUGGAAAACGAUUUUCUAGUGGUUGGGGAUGAGCUCGCGGCCUAUCAGCUUGUUGGUGGGGUAAUGGCCUACCAAGGCGGCGACGGGUAGCCGGCCUGAGAGGGUGGACGGACACAUUGGGACUGAGAUACGGCCCAGACUCCUACGGGAGGCAGCAGUGGGGAAUAUUGCACAAUGGGAGGAAGCCUGAUGCAGCGACGCCGCGUGGGGGAUGACGGCCUUCGGGUUGUAAACUCCUUUCGACCGCGAGGAAGCCACCUGGUUGGAAGGGUGGUGACGGUAGUGGUAGAAGAAGCACCGGCUAACUACGUG